rnacentral:rRNA from 1 species
UACGUAGGGCGCGAGCGUUGUCCGGAUUUAUUGGGCGUAAAGAGCUCGUAGGUGGUUUGUUGCGUCUGCCGUGAAAACCCGAGGCUUAACCUCGUGGCUUGCGGUGGAUACGGGCAGACUUGAGGUAGGUAGGGGAGAAUGGAAUUCCCGGUGUAGCGGUGAAAUGCGCAGAUAUCGGGAGGAACACCGGUGGCGAAGGCGGUUCUCUGGGCCUUACCUGACGCUGAGGAGCGAAAGCGUGGGGAGCGAACAGG